GACUCGUCUUAAUUCUCUGUCCUCUACUGGUGGUAAUCCUCACAGUGUGUUGGCUGCUGCCCAGAAACCUAAGAAUAUUUUUAAGCCUUGUGAUCAUUGUGGCAAGACCAAUCAUUGAUCUGAGCUUUGCUUUGUCAAGUUCCCUGAUAAGUUGACUGAUUUCCGUGCACGACGUGCUGCUCGUGGUCGUGGUCCAGGACCAUCUAAUAGAGGCUCAGUUGCUGUUGCUGCCACUUCGUCCGCUUGUACUUCAGAGUCGGCCUGUGUACUUGAUUCAGGAGCUUCCUUUCAUGUCACAUCUGAUCAAUCAAAGUUGGCUUCUACUACACCUGUCACAGAUGGUGCUUCAGUGCAGACAGCUGAUGGACCUUCGCACAGGGGAAGUGAUUGGGACUGGCCGUCGCCGUAGAGCUGCUCCUCGCCUCUACAUCUUGGACUCUUUGCGGCUUCCUUCCUUGGCUACAUCUCCAGCGCAUGUGCUUUCAGCUACCCUUGCUUCUGUUGUGUCUUUUGCCCAGUGGCAUCAUCGUCUAGGUCAUUUGUGUGGAUCUAGAUUGUCUACUCUAAUAAAGUCAGGCUGCUUAGGUCAUACUUCGGUUGAGUCUGAUUUUCAUUGUAAGGGUUGUCAUCUUGGAAAACAAAUACAACUUCCAUAUUUUACUAGUCAUUCUCAUUCUGUUCAACCCUUUGAUUUGGUUCACUCUGAUAUUUGGGGUCCUGCACCUUUUGUGUCAAAAGGUGGAUAUAAAUACUAUGUUAUUUUUAUUGAU